rnacentral:lncRNA from 1 species
AUCCCCUUGACUCCCGGGCUUCCGAGUGGGGGCUCCCGGAGCCCAGUGUCGAGGAGCGCCCUUCCCCUGGUGAUGAGAGUCGCCAUGCAAAGUCGGCUGCGCAAACUGGGCCUCGGAAUAGCCGGGCCAGGGGUCAAACCAGGAAGGCGGGGGGAGGGGUGGACAGCAAGACUGAAGAGACUUGACUUUAUUUGUGUUGCUUCAACUUGUCCUGAAUGGUUACACGAGGCGCGCGCUCUUCCACACACACCGCGGGCAGCCCAAACCUUCGCUGGCUCAGUCCUCCGGCUCCUCGCCCUGCCAGUCCUUGGCCGGCCCCGAGCCACUGGCGUCAGAGGGCUCAGGCGCCUGCCUUCUCAGUGCCGGCUGGGGAGGACCUGCUCGCGAAGGGUUGCCAACUGAACUUUGCUGCACUAGAAAUCUUGAGGAAGAGUGGAAACGCAUGGGCUUUGGAGCUGGACACUUGGGGUUUAAAGCCUGACUCUGCUGUGAGACCACGAGUAAGUUGCUUAACCUCUCUGGGUUUUAAUUUCCCCAUCUAUAAGAAGAGGGAUAAUUUCAAUACUCACAGCAUAGGGUGGGUGGUAGCAUCAUGUAUCUAACAUGAUGUUCAGCAAAUAGUCAUUCUCAUUCCUUUCCUUUUUCCUUCAAGACCAGAGUCAAGACCCUGCUCCAGGGAGCUUUCUCUGAGGAACAUUAGUCCCACAGUCACUUCCCUGCAGUGAGCUGCAGCCGUUCUCCUGCUAUAUACCACUCAAUCCAGCCCUUGGGUUUAGAUUGCAUGUGCUGUUGCCCAAUUGUUUUGUAUGCAUAAGCCUCACCCAC